ensembl:lncRNA
AUGGAGAGUGGACAAAGCUUGACCCAGGUCAUCUCUGAAAUGCAGAAUGAGAUCAGAAAGCUGGAGAGCGAAAACAAAGCACUUCGUGGGCAGCUUGACUGGCCGGCGUCAGGCUUGGACUCAAUGAAGCAGAAGGACGGGUCACAGGACAGCUCAACCCACGCCAGCCUGAGAAGAAACGUGUCUGCACCACAACUUGAGGGACAGUACAAAGAAAACAUUAUUAUGACCGUGCGAAGAUACUCCAUAUCCUCAAACUCCAUCAACGGCUCUAGAAAGAAUGAGAUUUUGCACAAGCCGAGACGAUAUGAGGAGACUGUGAACAACAAUAAAUGGGCAAAACUACAUGAUGGUUCACACGGGCGUCCUUCCAGUGCCUAUGCUAAAUCAGACAUGGAGAAGUUAACCAACAGACAUUGCCUUCAAGAUUAUGUCAACAAAAACAGAGCCAAAGUCAAGACGGUAACUUUCCUGUUGCCAGUGGAUGACAUUUAUACCAAUCGGCCUGUACUAGCCGAACACCUGUCAGAAAGAAGCACCUGUGAACUCCAAGCGAUAGCGGAAACGGACUCGUGAAAUCUAAACUAAUGGUGGGAAACACCCGCAAAACGGAUGUUUGUGAAGCUGACAAAGAGGAAGUGCAGUAAUGUGGUCAAACUCUGUCCAGACACAUUUUUAGUUGAGUCCUGUGGUGAAUUAAUACCCACACCUGACCUCAACGCUUUGACUCCUGUUACAGAUUUAGUUUCUCGAAUUCAUCCAGCUGAAGAAACUCAAGUCAUCUCUUGGUCUCGUCCGAUGACCUGUCAGUCCCGCUCCGGCGUUUGGAUCGGGUGUCUGCUUGUGUGAAGAACCAGUGGAAAUGUGCGCUUCUCGCUCACUUUACUGAGUUUGGUGUAAAUUGUCAGUUCAUAGCACUUUGAAGGACGAAGAUUACUUAUUUACAUCAGAUUGUUUUUAACUUUCCAUGAAAUCUCCCAUUAUUUUAUUGUGUUAGCUUACUUAGUUUGAACAUACAUGUAAGUUUACUUACAAAAAUGUUCAAGGUGAUAGUUCACCCAAAAAUAAAAAUGAAAUUUCUGUUAUAAUUUACUCA